GUAAUUAAGACUCAAGAGCAGGCCCAUUGAAAAUAAUGGACCUAAAUUAGUAAUUUCCAUUAAUUUCAAUGGGUCUGCUUUGAGUAUAACUAAC